rnacentral:lncRNA from 1 species
ACUCUGAAGGACUACCAGCGGAGACUGGACACAUCAGGGCUCAAACCCAGUAAUGAGCUUUAUACGGAAUAUAAGGUAACGUCUGCUCACACAUUUGAGUUCUUCGGAUAUUUUAGAGUUAUUCUCAUUAUUCUCCCGCUGGCUUUUCUAGAACAUCGACCUGACUCAGAAGAAGAUGCUUUACGAAGGCGCUGUGACCUGGAGACUCACAAAGGAGAAGGCAAUUGAGGUGCAGUGUGUGUUGCUCGAGGACCUGCUGGUGCUCCUCCAGAGGCAGGACGACAAGAUGGUCCUCAAAUGCCAGAGCAAGAGUAACAUCGCCGUGCAAGAGGGCAAGCAGAUGCUCAGCCCCAUCAUCAAGCUGGACUCGGUCUUCCUACGCGAAGUGGCCACAGAUCGAAAGGCCUUCUAUGUGAUAUUCACCUGGGAAAGCGGCGCUCAGAUCUAUGAACUUGUGGCGCAGUCUCUUGGAGAGAUGAAAAUGUAAGUGUGGGAGAGAAAUACAGAUAAUCAUGAUGAGUUCCAGAAGCUAAAUCACAACCAGGAAAUGUAAUGUGUGUGUGUGUGUGUGUGUGUGUGUGUGUGUGUGUGUACUUACAGCUGGACUGGUGUGAUAAAGACGGCGGUGGAUGAUCUGAAGAAGAGUGGAGCACCCAUGAGGUUGACGCUGCCUCAUGGAAGUGGAGGAGCUCCAUUAAGUCCAUCCACGUAUGUGUCAAUGUGUGUGUGUGUGUGUGUGUGUGUGUGUGUGUGUGUGUACUUACACGUCAGUUGAAAGAGCAAGACGUAUUCAUCGCCUGCCAAAGUUCACCCAUUUCAAAAAUAUCUCAUUUCUUUUGUCAUCUUCCCCCCGUCAGGCUGACUGCCCCUCUGAGCCCGACGGAGAACGGGGGUUUGAAAAGCAGCAGCGAUCGAGAUAAAGACAGCUUGACGGAUGACAAGUCUUCAGACCCCAGGCACAGGCUGAUUGAUUUCCUGUCAGACAAAGGCUUCGACUUGAUAGGCCACUCCAACAGCGAUCAGGAGAAGAUGGCCAACAGUGCUUUGGAUGAAGUCAUGUCGCUGAAAAGGCUGUUGGUCGGCAGCAUCAGUCUGACAGAAGACUCGCAGCCCGAUGAAGAAAACGGAGAGGAGCAAUCAGAGAGGCCCAGUCAAGAAACGGAUAGCUGUCAGUCGACAGGUCGGCUUUUGUUUUGUUUUGAAAGUCAAAAUGUACUGCAAUUCAAAACAAAAGUGCCUCGUGACACAUCUAAACUGAGUCUUUCCGUCCGCAGAAGAAAGCCAGACGACAGACAGGGCAGCGGAGGAGGACAACAAUAA